rnacentral:misc_RNA from 1 species
UUCAAAGUCUUCUUGUUGUUAAGCUGCAUAGGUAAAAACAAUUUUUUUUUUUAAUGAUGGAACUAACACAUAGUUUGGUGCAUGAAAUAUUAAAUUCCUAAUUGCUGCAGCAUCUAAUCAAAAUUUGUUGUCAUCUGCAGCCUAAGCCUUCAAUUUUCAGCAACAUUUCAACAAUGCAAAAGAAUGAAGCCCACAGAACACUCAAAAAAAGCAAACUCAAGUCAAUUCAACAAAACUAUGAGUUGAUCUUGAACUAGUUGGGUUUAGAUAUGCCAAUAAUUUUCUUCAGGCUAUACCCAGUUUAGGACUAUAUCCAAUAAAUUGGAUUGGGAAUUGGGGAAUCCUUCAAUGGAAUUCCACUAAAAGAAAUAAAAGAUCACUAUGUUUUCCAAUUAGCAACAAUACAGAGAAAAACAGAAAUUCAUAUAAGAUGGGAAAAAAUCUAAACCUGCCCAGAAAAAGAAAGAG